rnacentral:pre_miRNA from 1 species
UCUCAUGGAUUAGCAAAGAAGGCGGUUUCUUGAGAUGGAAUCAACUCUUGGGGAAGAUGCUGUGAA